AACGUAGGAGACAAACGUUAUCCGGAGUUACUGGGCGUAAAGGGCGUGUAGGUGGUUUCGUAAGUCUGGCGUGAAAUUUUUCGGCUUAACCGGGAAAGGUCGUCGGAUACUGCGGAACUAGAGGACGGUAGAGGCGUGUGGAAUUCCGGGUGUAGUGGUGAAAUGCGUAGAUAUCGGGAGGAACACCUGCGGCGAAGGCGGCUUCCUGGACUGCAACUGACGCUGAGGCGCGAAAGCUAGGGGAGCAAACAGG
rnacentral:rRNA from 1 species